AACCCUUACAUCACCAAAAGCCUCUGACAUACAGUGGGAGAAAUUUGUUUAUUGGUGGGAGGAAGCCACAAAGAGACUCACGAGUCUCGUGUGCGGAGUCUGAAGGACUCCCAGGAAAAAUUUAAAAACAAGUACAGGAUUUGAAAACUAAAUGCAAAGCAUCCGGAUGCCUCCCUACCUGAGCAACUCUCUCUGCUCCUUUAUAUCCCCAAUUAGUUAAGGCUGAAAGCAAGGAGGGAAAGGAAUGGGUUAAUUUGAAAGUCAGCUUGGCCUAGAGAUAAAGAGAGAGCUGCUCUGCGUUCAAGGUCAAAAAUCAACACAGACCAUGCCAAGCGCAUGCACACACACGCCUUUCAACCCCAGCUGGAUGUGAAAAAUAUAGACAAGAGGCAAAACAAAUUGCAGGACUGAGAUUACAUUUGCAAAGGUUGGCUGCCCAGUGAGACCCAACAGUCUGCCUUUGCAACCUUGGAGCCGGUGUGGUUUGCAGACACUGAAGAAGCCACUGGCAGCCAGCCUGGACUGGAAUACCGAGCAAAGGUCUCUGAAAGGGAAGACCCAAGAGACCCCAGGGCAUAAAAAAAAAACAAAAAACAAACCCACAACACAACCAACCCUCCCAAGAGCGGAAGUAAGUUGGAGAUUUUUGCAGCGUAUCUCUGGACAACCUGUGCACAGGAUAACCUCCCGUCCACCCCUCUCUCUCUCUCUGUCUCUCCUACCCCCGGGCCUGGCCAGCCUGGGCAGCCUGUUUGUCUCUUUAUACACAGGUGAAAGACGCACUACCCAAGGAUCCUGAGCACCCCUGCCACUCGCUGGAACCAGGAGACUGGGUCUACAUACAGGUCCAUCAGCGAAAGACGGCCCUGACCCCACGCUGGAAAGGCCCUUACCAAAUCCUGUUAACUACCAACACCGCUAUGAAGUGCUAAGGACUGACUGCCUGGACCCAUGCUUCUCACUGCAAAAAGGCCCCUCCAUCUCGAGAUGACUCUCCGACUGAUGAUCGGCCUCUCUCUCCUUCUGGUGCUGCUGUUCCUUCUGGAUUGCAAGAGAAAAGGACAAGGUGAAGUGCUAGUAACCUCUCCCUUGUCAUUGACAGAACUACCAUGCAUUUGGAUUUCGCUACAAGAAGCAAAUCAUUACAGAGUGAUGUGCUAGUAACCUCUCCCCUGUAUAAUGCUAAACCACGACUGUUCCAAGAGAGAAGGAACACUCGCUCUGCUGAAACCACCGAGGUCCAGGAAUUCCUGAUGACAAAGGACAUUAAAAAUUGGCCCAGGUGGAGGAAACUGAGUAUUGUAUAUUGGCAGGGAGGGAACUGCAGGGACCGUUCUUGGGAAUGUGGAGUGGAGUGGUGGUUUGGAUUUCUUCCAGGAUCUGGGCUUUGUGCUUACCGACAAGUACCAUCAGAAUGUACUGCACUCCCUAAUUGGCUUCCUGAUGACGAAUACCAAAGACGCCUUGCUGCCACGAACAUUACCCCCACCAUCCACUGCACCUUUGCAACCACCCCUGUAAUUUACCCAAAUACAGACAAUACUGUAUAUUCUAAUGAAACCCAAUGGCCAAGGCCUUCACAUCUUAGUGAUUUACUUUUGUUCAGAAAAGUUAUUUUUUAAGGUUCAGAAUAGUUCAUAUGAGUGAACAAUUGAGUGGAAAACAAACGGGUCGGUGGAAAUAGAAAUAUGUGAUAUCACUACAAAUGAGCACUAAGAAUUGAAAAUUGAGAUUAAUGGGUUCUAUAGCGAGGUAGAUAUGAUGGCCGUUCCUAGAGUCUGCAGUAUGUUAGAUGAAAGAGGCCCUUAUUGUUAUUUGGUCACCCAAUUAGUGAAUAAUCAAAUGUAUACCCAAAGAGUCUGUUCUGCCACCGGAAAUUUUAUCUGUACUGAAAUAAUCCCAGUAACUAAUAAUUUAACCUGCACUAUAUUACAAUAUACCCCUUCCUAUGCUAUUAAUGCUAAUGCCUCUUGGAAGUACAUGAAAGUGUUUGGCCAACAGAUGUGGUAUGGUACUUCACCAAAGAGAGAUGUGUAGGAUAUCGAUGGACUGUGAUUAAUACUACUCUCGGGACUAUAAAAUUCAUGCUGCCCUUAUCCAGUUUUCAGGUCACCUCUACAUAUCCUAAUUGCUCAAAAGGGGCUGCCAUUAGGUUAGCACAGCAAAGGGCCUGGGUUUCCUCUAGAAAGAAGAGGGACUUGGCUGGACACCUAUGGGAUGGUGCCAAUAGCGCAGCUGCAAUUUGGAAUAUUUAUAAAGGCCAACAACAGAAAGAAAAAAUUAGGACAGUUGGAAAAAGCCACAGGUCUUAUUACUGGAGCACAGUUAACCCAGAUACAGGCUGGAGUUGGUGAAUUACGUGUUAUCUCCGCCCUUAGUUCAAUGACCCAGAAACUUCUGACGAUGAUGGUGCUAAAUAUGACUGAGGCUGGGAAGGCACUGCAGUGGGAUCUGGCUUGUUCAGAAAUUUAGGAUUUCCUGAAUGACUAGCUCAUGGCCAUUCGGAGUGAUCUGGAGCAUCAGGCUUGGCCCACUGCCCUUACAGAUACUUCAGGAGUAUUAUCUGAUCUGUGGCCAUGGAGACGUACUUGGAGAUUUUCUGGGAGGAAGUGCAGAUGUUCAGAGUGCUCCUUCCAAGCUUACAGACCGACUGAAGGGAUGUGGGCCCCCACAUACCGAAUCCUGCCGGAUCUGUGGGGAGGAUGCAUGUGGGAUUGGAUAAUUCACAGAGACAUUUGGGAAAUUAAACUACCUGGUAUGCCUAACCGAUUUGUAGUCAGUGCUCCUGGAGUAACACCCAACGUUUGGAUAGGGAGUCAAUGGACACUCUGGCCUUUAGAACCCCCACAGCUUCAGUGUGUAUGAACACUGAAGCCAGGAGAAGUUGUCACUGUUCAUGACAUUUGUUGGGAAGGUAUGGGACAAGGAACUACCCUGACAAGACACCUGCUCUUCCAAGCUAAUGACAGUUGUGUGUAUGUUAAGGCCACCACUUUGCAAGACAUACAUUUUAAAUCUCACCACUGCUGAGGGCAAUCGUAUUAUGUAUUGGCCUGCGGCUAGAAUCCUACAAUCAGCCCUUAGGUUUCAGAUACCCUUUAAUUGGACAGCCUUAGUACCAGACCGGUUCCAAAAUUUGCUUUCAUUCCUACCAGAGAUCCGGGAAAUCUCUGAAUUACAAGGUCAAAUUCAUAUGCUUCAAAAUAUAUAUCAAAUUGAAAAAUAUGCCUUUCAUACAGCCUAUAGAGUGUCUACAUUAUGUACUAAUUAUGAUGCAUUGUGCUAUGUAACUAAGGCUAUAAAACAACCCCAUCAUAUUACACUAGGAAUGUUAAUGCUUUUAUUGUUCAGUUUAGGAUUAUGUUGUUGUUGUAGUAGUAGUAAAGGACGUAAUAAUAACAACACCUUCCUCGUUCAUACUAACCGCGCGUUGUCAUUGCAUCCAACCAAAGCCCAUGAGGCUGAACCAUUUGAUCUAAAAUCAGAAAUACAAGGUGUCAAGGUUCCCUCCCCACUCUGAACUCUAGGGUACAGAUGUGGGGACCUGCAUGAAAACCUCCUAAGCUUAGUUUUACCAGCUUAGGUUAAAACUUCCCCAAGGUACAAACUAUUUUACCUUUUGCCCUUGGACUUUCGCUGCCACCACCCAACGUCUAACCGGGUUUAUUUUAUUAGGAAAGAGCCUGUUUGGAAACAUCUUUCCCCGCAAAAUCCUCCCAACCCUUGCACCCCACUUCCUGGGGAAGGCUUGACAAAAAUCCUCACCAAUUUGUAUAGGUGACAACAGACCCAAACCCUUGGAUCUUAAGAACAAGGAAAAAACAAUCAGUUUCUUAAAAGAAGAAUUUUAAUAGAAGUAAAAAGAAUCACCUCUGUAAAAUCAGGAUGGUACAUACUUUACAGGGUAAUUAGAUUCAAAACAUAGAAAAAUCCCUCUAGGCAAAACCUUAAGUUACAAAAAGAUACAAAGACAGGAAUAUCCAUUCUAUUCAGCACAGCUUAUUUCCUCAGCCAUUUAUAGAAAUCAUAAUCUAACACAUAUCUAGCUAGAUUACUUACUAAGUUCUAAGACUCUAUUCCUGUUCUGUCCCCAGCGAAAGCCUCACCAGACAGACCCAGACCCUUUGUUUCUCUCACCCUCCAGCUUUGAAAGUAUCUUGUCUCCUCAUUGGUCAUUUUAGUCAGGUGCCAGCGAGGUUAUCUUAGCUUCUUAACCCUUUACAGGUGGAAGAGUUCUUCCUCUGGCCAGGAGGGAUUUUAAAGGUGUUUACCCUUCCCUUUAUAUUUAUGGCACAAGGUUUGAUGAAAAUGGAGGUUUAAGACCGAUAGUUGUGCUAGAAGCACAAAAGGGAGGAGUGGGGAAGUGAAAAAGGGAUAAAGGGGAUUUGGACGCAGAUAUCUUAUAGAGCAAGAAUCAGGCUAACUCUAAUAACGCAAGACUAAGGCAGGGCCUGGGCGAGUGGGAAAACUGUAAGAGAUGCUGUUUGAGCUUGUGUUAGGUAAGAAUGGAACACAGACUGUAGCAUGAACUGCUGAAAAAAAGUAAGAUAUCAGGAAGGAAUAUGUAUAAACAAGACGCAGCAGUUGAUCAUUAUUGUAUGUAACAAAAGGUAUAAAUGCUGACCCUACCUGUUUAUCAGGCGGAGACCUGCCUAGGAAGGGGUAAUCCCUGUCCAUGCGCCCUCCCCCGCUUGCAAUUGCUUGAGAAUAAAUGGUCUCCAACUUGUUGUAAACAA